rnacentral:rRNA from 1 species
GACAGAGGGUGCAAACGUUGUUCGGAAUCACUGGGCGUAAAGGGCGCGUAGGCGGCUUUAUAAGUCGGGGGUGAAAGCCUGUGGCUCAACCACAGAAUUGCCUUCGAUACUGUAGAGCUAGAGUCCGGAAGAGGAGUGUGGAAUUCCUGGUGUAGCGGUGAAAUGCGCAGAUAUCAGGAAGAACACCUAUGGCGAAGGCAGCACUCUGGGACGGUACUGACGCUGAGACGCGAAAGCGUGGGGAGCGAACAGG